AACCUCCGCAAUGUGAGAAAUCGCGACGGGGGGAUCCCAAGUGCCAUUCUUAACGGGAUGGCUUUUCAUUAGUGUAAAGAGCUUUUGGAAUAAGGGCUGGGCAAGACCGGUGCCAGCCGCCGCGGUAACACCGGCAGCUCUAGUGGUAGCAGUUUUUAUUGGGCCUAAAGCGUCCGUAGCCGGUUUAAUAAGUCUCUGGUGAAAUCCUGUAGCUUAACUGUGGGAAUUGCUGGAGAUACUAUUAGACUUGAGACCGGGAGAGGUUAGAGGUACUCCCAGGGUAGAGGUGAAAUUCUGUAAUCCUGGGAGGACCGCCUGUUGCGAAGGCGUCUAACUGGAACGGUUCUGACGGUGAGGGACGAAAGUUAGGGGCGCGAACCGGAUUAGAUACCCGGGUAGUCCUAACCGUAAACGAUGCGGACUUGGUGUUGGGGUGGCUUUGAGCUGCUCCAGUGCCGAAGGGAAGCUGUUAAGUCCGCCGCCUGGGAAGUACGGUCGCAAGACUGAAACUUAAAGGAAGU
rnacentral:rRNA from 1 species